rnacentral:rRNA from 1 species
GAUUAACGCUAGCGGCAGGCCUAAUACAUGCAAGUCGAACGGCAGCGGGUGUAGCAAUACAUGCCGGCGAGUGGCGCACGGGUGCGUAACGCGUAUGCAAUCUACCUGUAACUGGGGAAUAGCCUUCCGAAAGGAAGAUUAAUACCGCAUAACAUCAUGAAGUGGCAUCAUUUUAUGAUCAAAACUCCGGUGGUUACAGAUGAGCAUGCGUGACAUUAGCUAGUUGGUGAGGUAACGGCUCACCAAGGCGACGAUGUCUAGGGGGUCUGAGAGGAUGAUCCCCCACACUGGUACUGAGACACGGACCAGACUCCUACGGGAGGCAGCAGUAAGGAAUAUUGGACAAUGGCCGCAAGGCUGAUCCAGCCAUGCCGCGUGCAGGAUGAAGGUGCUCUGCAUUGUAAACUGCUUUUGUCGGGAAUAACCCUUUCACGUGUGAGAGGUUGAAUGUACCGAAAGAAUAAGGGACGGCUUAACG